UACGUAGGGGGCAAGCGUUGUCCGGAAUUACUGGGCGUAAAGGGCGUGUAGGCGGUUUUUUAAGUCAGAUGUGAAAGUUCGGGGCUCAACCUCGGAAUUGCAUUUGAAACUGGAGAACUUGAGUCCUGGAGAGGGUGGCGGAAUUCCCGGUGUAGGAGUGAAAUCCGUAGAUAUUAGGAGGAACACCAGUGGCGAAGGCGACUUACUGGACAGAUACUGACGCUGAGGCGCGAAAGCGUGGGGAGCAAAC
rnacentral:rRNA from 1 species